UACGGAGGAUGCGAGCGUUAUCCGGAUUUAUUGGGUUUAAAGGGUGCGUAGGCGGACGCUUAAGUCAGCGGUAAAAUUGCGGGGCUCUACCUCGUCGAGCCGUUGAAACUGGGUGCCUUGAGUGGGCGAGAAGUACGCGGAAUGCGUGGUGUAGCGGUGAAAUGCAUAGAUAUCACGCAGAACUCCGAUUGCGAAGGCAGCGUACCGGCGCCCAACUGACGCUGAAGCACGAAGGCGUGGGUAUCGAACAGG
rnacentral:rRNA from 1 species